GACAUAUUCCGGUUGAUCCUGCCGGAGGCCAUUGCUAUCGGAGUCCGAUUUAGCCAUGCUAGUUGCAUGAGUUUAGACUCGUAGCAUAUAGCUCAGUAACACGUGGCCAAACUACCCUACAGACCGCGAUAACCUCGGGAAACUGAGGCCAAUAGCGGAUAUAACUCUUAUGCUGGAGUGCCGAGAGUUAGAAACGUUCCGGCGCUGUAGGAUGUGGCUGCGGCCGAUUAGGUAGAUGGUGGGGUAACGGCCCACCAUGCCGAUAAUCGGUACAGGUUGUGAGAGCAAGAGCCUGGAGACGGUAUCUGAGACAAGAUACCGGGCCCUACGGGGCGCAGCAGGCGCGAAACCUUUACACUGCACGACAGUGCGGUAGGGGGAUCCCAAGUGCACAGGCAUAGCGCCUGUGCUUUUCGGUACCGUAAGGUGGUACCAGAAUAAGGGCUGGGCAAGACCGGUGCCAGCCGCCGCGGUAAUACCGGCAGCCCAAGUGAUGGCCGAUCUUAUUGGGCCUAAAGCGUCCGUAGCUACUUUCC
rnacentral:rRNA from 1 species